UUUGAUGACAGCAGUAGUCACAACAUGGAGAUUUAUUGUGAAACAGUACCUCCCUGGAAUAUUUUGUUAAACUUUUGUAGUACUGUGGAUAUAAUUUCAGUCUUCUGAUCCUGAGUUCGAGUAUAGUAAUGAAUUCGGUUUUGUCGAAAAGCAAUAUUUUUUAAAGAUUAGCUUUACCCCAAAUUGAAUUUUUCGCCGUUUUCAAGCCGAACACAUUUCAUAUAUAUAAAAUACCGGUAAAUGUUUAUGCCAGACUUUUCCCAACGGCGUGGAAGACCCUUAAGUUGAACAUAAUUGCACGGGUGAGCGACGUGGUCCAUAGGCUUAUUAAAGAUUCGCUCUAUUAAAGACUAAGUUUAUUCAGAAUUUUAUGAAUUGGAAAUCAAUCAUUCAAAGAUGAGAUUGGUAACCGGUUUGCCAUAUUGCUUCACAAACACUUCUUGUUUCAAAUACACAUGUAUAAUCGAGAUGGCAUGAAUUAAAAAUCUCACAGCCUUUGAAGACAAGAUAUAAAGCAAACAGGUUUAAGACGAUUAAACCUGGUAUUGAUUUAUUAAAGGUUCAUACUAGUAUGACCACUCUGUUCAACAAAUAAAUUUUGCAGAAAGUCAUUUGGCAAUGUUUGAUUCCGUGUUAACAAUCAAACUAUUUUUAGUCUUCAAAUCAAGUACAUGUAGUUCACUAUAUAUUGGUAAAUUAGCAAAAAAAGUGAACAUUGUCUUGGAAUAUGGAAGUUUUUGAAGCAAAGAAUUCGUCCUAAAAAGUAUGUCAACUUUCUUAUUGUACUUUAUUAUUCUAUGUGUUUGAUUCUGUAUAUUCUU
rnacentral:sRNA from 1 species